GCGCCGGUAGUGCAACGGUUCAGCAUGCGCCCGGAUAGGGUAAGAUCUGGGUUCGAAUCCCAGCUGAUGCA